CAGACCUUGAAGCGAUACAACUUUCUGCAUCAUUAUGAGAAAAUUGUAAGGUUAGCGGUGAGGUAACAAUAUUGAAAUCACUCGACAUGACAUACGUAACACCACUACAAAAAACGGUUACGUCAUAAAUGGCUUCUCACAUCUCUUGUAUCGCCAGGAAGAAAGAAAUUGGUCAGUCAUUGAUUCGCCCAGUCUCCUACCUCACUUUGAAGACCACAGCCGAACAUAUUCAAUCUACAGGGUAAACUGAAGGCAAGGAAUCCACACAUGAUAUGUGCUUACUGCCUCCAUCAUCACGGCUAUGGCCUCCGAGAAGUAGGUCAUUUCUACGAGACUACACGGCCCAACAUCCCAGAAGACAGUUGCCAUCAUACUUGCCGCUGUGAGAACUCGAAAUCUCACAUUCAAAACUAUUUAUCAAAUAUUAACAGGGCUUUAAAAUCAAUAAUAAUAAUAAUGUGUGAAACAUGUCGCACACAUGGUAGGAUGUGACAUGCAUAAAAAAUUGAUCGAAACCUGAAGAGUUAACUUACGCAUGCUCAGACACUGAUUCGAGGAUAAUGUUAAAACGCAUCUUAAAAUCAUCUGGAUUCAUCUGGCUCAGGACAGAGACCAUUGGCUGUAUGUUGUGAACACAAUGAAUCUUCGAAUUUAAUGUAAGGCAGGUAGCUUCUGGACCAGUCUAACAACGCCAGCUUUUCGAGGAAGACUCUUUCUGAAUGCAGAUGUCCUACAGUUCUGCGUCCUGCUGCCAAGUCCACGGCACGAAACGAAGUUGGGCAUCUUCCACCUCACGAAGCUAUCGGGAACCUAGCGCACAAACACGGCGAGGUGCCGGCAAUCCAGGUGCCACGUCUCUUUGCGAUCCGCGAGGCACUCAAGAAACCGGACUUUCAGGGACGUCCGAUAACCGCAGUCCACGGACUGGAGAACUAGAAACUGGGUGAGGCAUCGUGCCACUUAGCCUCACAGCGAAUCCAAACGACAGCAAAAAAACGUGUGAAACGUAGCUUCAAUGUGACCAGAUAACAUAUUCGAGAUCAAGUCAAAGCCUAUUUUACAUGCUGUGCCAAAACUGUCCAAGCAAUGAAUGCGUUACUGGGAGUUCACGUUUGUCCAUGUGUUAUUUCCAAACCUGCGGAAAUUAUAUCGAUUAAACACGAAACUAGAGGCUUCCCCUAAAAGUCAUAAGACUGAUUAAAUUUUCAUUCGUUUAGAUUAAGCACAUAUCCUUACGACAUGAUAGAAACGUCUGUAAAAAUUACCUUCUAUAAAGUUUAUUUGAAAAGUUUUAGGUGUUCAGGUUCUAAAGGCGGGGAAGAUGUUGAUGUUGGUCUUCUGGGUUGUAACUCAGUGUGGCCUGGUAGGCAGAUAUAAAAGUUUCGGGCCUACUGUUCAAUCUUCAGGACUAACUAAAACAUUCAACUAAAACUACGCAAAUGAACUAAGUACCUAACCACAUAUCUAACUAAACAACAAGGUAAUUAACUAUACAAUCAAUUACUUAGCUUAUUAAUAGUACACUAAAUAUUUAACUAUUCACUUUAUUAUUUAACUAAACAAUUAGCUAAGUAACCAGUUAUGUAAACGAAACGUAGAAGUUAAGUACCGCUGCACUGCAGACUCAUUAGAUUUCUAGUUUUAAAUGAGAUCCACUUCGCUAAUCUCCAUUUGGCAUUGCGUCAAGGCUGAGGUAUGUAGACGCAACUCUGAACGAAAUCUACCGCUUUUCCGGUGUCAUAAUGAAUGUCAUUCUGAAUUGUUCCUGUUCUUCAUAAUUAGUUUCUUACAUGUUUAUUUCUAUACCAGCCUCCUUUUUUAUAUUGGUAUAGAGUAUCUGUAAUGUUCUUCAUUGAAUUCAUGGCUUUGUGUAAUAAACAUGAAAACAAAACAACAAACAUGUCUGAUAACAAAUGCA